CUGGUCUGAGAGGAUGAUCAGCCACACUGGUACUGAGACACGGUCCAGACUCCUACGGGAGGCAGCAGUGGGGAAUAUUGCACAAUGGAGGAAACUCUGAUGCAGCAACGCCGCGUGGAGGAUGACGCAUUUCGGUGUGUAAACUCCUUUUAUAUGGGAAGAUAAUGACGGUACCAUAUGAAUAAGCACCGGCUAACUCCGUGCCAGCAGCCGCGGUAAUACGGAGGGUGCAGGCGUUACUCGGAAUCACUGGGCGUAAAGCGCGCGCAGGCGGCCUUUUAAGUUGGAUGUGAAAGCCUAUGGCUCAACCAUAGAACUGCAUCCAAAACUAUCAGGCUAGAGUGUGGGAGAGGAAGAUGGAAUUAGUUGUGUAGGGGUAAAAUCCGUAGAGAUAACUAGGAAUACCAAAAGCGAAGGCAAUCUUCUGGAACAUUACUGACGCUGAGGCGCGAAAGCGUGGGGAGCAAACAGGAUUAGAUACCCUGGUAGUCCACGCCCUAAACGAUGAAUGUUAGUCGUCGGGUAGCUAGUCUAUUCGGUGAUGCUGCUAACGCAUUAAACAUUCCGCCUGGUGAGUACGGUCGCAAGAUUAAAACUCAAAGGAAUAGACGGGGACCCGCACAAGUGGUGGAGCAUGUGGUUUAAUUCGAAAAUACGCGAAGAACCUUACCUAGCCUUGACAUAUUUAAGAACACUUUAGAGAUAGAGUGGUGCCUUCGGGAGCUUUUAUACAGGUGCUGCACGGCUGUCGUCAGCUCGUGUCGUGAGAUGUUGGGUUAAGUCCCGCAACGAGCGCAACCCUCGUCACUAGUUACUAACGGUUCGGCCGAGGACUCUAGUGAGACUGCCUCCGUAAGGAGGAGGAAGGUGAGGACGACGUCAAGUCAUCAUGGCCCUUACGGCUAGGGCAACACACGUGCUACAAUGGCCAGGACAAUGAGAAGCGAUACCGCGAGGUGGAGCAAAUCUAUAAACCUGGUCUCAGUUCGGAUUGUAGUCUGCAACUCACUACAUGAAGCUGGAAUCACUAGUAAUCGUAGAUCAGCUAUGCUACGGUGAAUACGUUCCCGGGUCUUGUACUCACCGCCCGUCACACCAUGGGAGUUGAUUUCACCCGAAGCGGGGAAGCUAAACUGGCUACCCUCCACGGUGGAAUCAGCGACUGGGGUGAAGUCGUAACAAGGUAACCGUAGGAGAACCUGCGGUUG
rnacentral:rRNA from 1 species